GCCAGGCAUGGUGGCACGUGCCUGUAAUCCCAGCUACUCGGGAGGCUGAGGCAGGAGAAUUGCUUGAACCCAGGAGGUGGAGGUUGCAGUGAGCCGAGAUAGUGCCACUGCACUCCAUCCUAGGUGACAGAGCAAGACUCUGUCUCAA
rnacentral:SRP_RNA from 1 species